CCUUGGAAAUCAACGAUCCAGAUUGCUAGAAAGCCAUAGGUGGAGUGGAGCACUAAUACACGCCGCUUCUCUCUGUUUUCUCUCUCUCUCUCUCGCUGUAUCUCUCUCCUCAAUAGUUCUUCUCUUUCGCCUCCGGAGCUCUAGCUCGCAAAUCCAGAUUUUGUGAAUCAGUCGAUGUUAUUACCUUUUAGGGUUUGGAUCACAAUGUCGCUGUUCAAGUGUGCAGGUCUAGGAAAUUAACUUCCUGCAAUUAAAAUUUGCAGAAGUAAGCAAUUUAUGUUUCAUAUUGGAUAGAAGGGAACAUAAGCAGUCUGAGAAUCAUGCUACGUGUGGAUGAUGUCAACAAAGGAUUGGUUCCGUGGAGGGUAUUUUUUUGAUUUAACUCCCUGAUUAAGACUCGGAUGGCUCAGGGCAUGUUGACACACAGAUACUUCGAAGGAUUCAAGUGGUCCAAGGAGGAAAUGCAUCCAUUUGAAUUUUGCUACAUGCGAUGGUUUUGGUGUCUUUAAAAAGUAUCACCUUCCAAGAGAAAGGAUUUACCGUUUGGAUGGAGAGGUUUGGUGAGAAAAGAAAGAAAAUGGAGAGAAUGAGGUUUCUCAUCACUUGUCUGAAUAAUUAAUGAGGUGAAAAAUGGUGAGAAAGGAAGAGAAAUAGUGAGAAAGAUAAAUCACUCAAAAUUUAAGUUGUUUCUGACCAAAGUAGUGAGAAACCAAAAUUACUCUUUAUAAAAAAUUUAUAAUACCUAAAUUACCCCUCUAAAUACAAAACAAAUAAAAUAAAAAGAUACAUAUAUCCUUUUUUUAAUCAAUGUUCAUCCAAACAAGAAGAUGAGAAAUCACAAUACAUCCAAACAAGAAGACGAGAAACCACAAUAAUUUCUUUUCUUCUCUCAGCUAGGUGAGAAACUAUAAUCAGUUCCUUUCUUUUCUCACCUCACAAUCCAAAACUAAAAGAUUGAGAGCUGAAGUUAAACAGAUUCGCAGAUUCUCCAGAAGAGAGAAGAUGCAAAGUGAUGUUCGUAGUUGUAGCAACACACAAAAUGGGCCUUCGUUAGAGAAAGUAAACCCUGCAGGUGACAGUGGUACUUCAGGUAGGUUUGAGUCUGCAAGUCAGGCAUCAGCACCAAGCACUUUGAAUGCAAUUUUGAUUGAACACUCUGAAGCAUUAUUAAUUGGGUAUUCAGCAGAGAACUUCAAGAAAUCGGAAGGGUUGACUUCUGGGCCAGGGAAGAAAGGCUGCAAGAGGCGUGGCUGGAAUCGUGGUACUUCAGGGAGGUUUGUGUCUGCAAGUUGGGCAUCAAGCACUUUGAGUGCAAUUUCGAUUGAACAGUGCAAGACAUUAUUAAAAAAAUUGAUGCAACAUCAGUAUGGUUGGGUUUUUAACACUCCCGUUGAUGCAGUAAAGUUGAACAUUCCUGAUUAUUUGACUGUUAUAAAGCAUCCAAUGGAUUUGGGGACAAUAAAGAGCAAGAUUGCUUCAAGUGAGUACUCAAGUGCGUUGGAAUUUGUGGCUGAUGUCAGACUAACUUUCUCUAAUGCCAUGACCUACAAUCCACCAGGAAAUGAUUUCCACAUCAUUGCUGAUACUUUGAGUAAAUUUUUUGAAGCAAGAUGGAAAGUUAUUGCGAAUAAUCUUCCGAAGGAUUCCCAGCCAUUACCAGAAAAAUCAGACGUACAUGAAGAAAAGGGGACUAUUAAGCCAAUGCCUCCAUCAAAAAAAAGAAAACUUACUUCACCACAACAUAAAGCUAUGCCUGGCCGUGCAAAGAGAAUAAUGACAUAUGAGGAAAAACGUAAGUUAAGUAGAGACUUUGAGGCUUUGCUGGGGGAGUUGCCAGACAAUAUUUUUGAAUUUGUGAGGGAUCAGAUUUCAAAUGGAUGGGAAGCUAGAGAGGAUGAGAUUGAAGUUUAUAUUGAUGAUCUCAGUGAUAAUACCUUGUUCAUGUUACGGAAGCUUCUAGAUGACUAUUUACGAGAAAUACGAAAGAACCAAGCAAAAGCCGAACCCUGUGAAAUAGAGGUACUAAACAGAUCGUGGCUCAGUGAUUUAUCCAUGCAAUUUUUGUGCAAAGGUUAUUAGCCAUUCUAUUUGGUUGCCACCAAAAUUGCAGGCAUCUUUACUGCAUCUCAAACCAUAUUUCAUAUAUCGCCUUAUAUAUUGUACAUUUGUAUGGAUUUACAAUGUUGAUAUUGAUGUGAAUGAGCCUCCUGUCUCGAGCCAAGUCCAGUAGAGAAAGAAAAAGAUACAGGCUGUUAAAGCAACACAUGUAUCAGUUCAGGCAGCUCCAGUUACAAUUCUGCAAACAAUAAUGAGAAAAUGCAUAGAAGAAGAAAGGGCUGUACCUCAAAGACAUGACUGCUGCAGCCAAAGACACACCAGAGAUGGAGUUGAAGUUUGGAAGAUGGGAGAGCACGAAAUGGACAGAGGAAAAAAUCAUGAUGAAGUAGGUCAGCUUGAUGUUUGAGCAAUCCUUGCACACCACAUCGUGGAAUUUCUUGAGUGACUUCCCUCCAGUGACCAUAUAGAGUAUGUUCACGCUGAUUUCAACAAUAAGCUGUUGGGGCACCACAAUAUAAAGACCGAGCUUUUCACCAAAUGCAUGCUGACCCAGCUCAUGGUAUCUGUCGAAACGUCUUCCAGGUACUAUCUCAUGCAUCUCAACCAUUUGCCAUAAGGUGUAUAAAGUGACAACCCAUGAUAUUACAAGUGCAGAAACACCAGGACCCCUGAAAACCAAAAGAUAUAUAUAGUAUCACUUACCUGUAGAUGUAGAAUUACAAUUUUGUUUCUUGAAAAGUAAAUGAAAAUGGUUAUUUUAUA